GAGGAGGAGCGUUGCAAAUGUCGUGACAAGAAGUUUCCGUGCGCCCGAGAGCGUGUGAAUUGCUCCUAAUUACCGUGUCCGGUGCGCCUCUCCGCGUAGACGUGUGUAACCCCUCUACUCCUGGGGCUCCGGCUCCACUGAGCCACUCUCCCUUGGCCCGGGGCGCUUGGCAAGGCCCAGCUUCCCAAGUGGCCCCGGAGGCCUGGGGCGGGACAGGAGCAGGUGACAAUUCAAUUACCGCUGUCGAAGUGGGAGUGGAACCCGGGUGCCCGGGUGGGGGAGGGAGGGCGUUCACCGCAGACUUGCCAAGAUGGUUUUUGCUGGCUUCCUUCUGACCGUGACCGUGUGUUUCCACGUCCGACGGGCUCCGAGGUAGUUGAGAGCCGGUUUGCUCCCUUCCCCCGCCCUCUAUCACCUUUAAUGCUUAGUUCCUUCGUUUGCAAAGUCCUGACACCGUGGGCGUCACGGAGGCGAAAGUAAAAAGCCGCCUUUGCCACUCCCCAGAUCCUCUGGAGGCUGGAGGCACCGGCCAGACGGUCAGACCCAUCAGCCCACAAGACUUCCGCAGGGGGCGAGGGCACUGGACCUGCUUUGACUUGGCCUUCCUCAAUCCGUGCUGACGUCACGGCCCGAGAACCCCUUGGGUCUGCGGAGGAGAGUAAAGAAAAUUCGUUUAAAUGAAAUGCGAA
rnacentral:lncRNA from 1 species